rnacentral:tRNA from 1 species
GGCUGGAUAGCUCAGUUGGUAGAGCAGAGGACUGAAAAUCCUUGUGUCCGCGGUUCGAUUCCGCGUCCAGCCA